rnacentral:lncRNA from 1 species
GUCGGCCUUCCCUCACUUACAAACCCUAGCCCUACAAGAGAACAUAUGCUAACCCUUGGAUCCAAUCCAACGAUUCUCAUCAUCUACACCGUCCUAUACAUGCCCUCUCUAUCCCUAACCCCACACUCCCAACCGAGGUCCGCCGACACCCACCUCUUCUUCUAGCUGGAAACCUAGCCCACAAUUCACUCGCCGUGCUAACCUCGAUGCUACCAACCAGACCACUCAAGUCGGCUUCCUCUCCGGUAUUGUCGCCGCAUCUUCUUCCACAACUCAUCAUUUUUCCUCCUAAUGGUCGGAUCUAGUGUCAAACUCUUUGGAGAAGUCGGCAAACCCCUUAUGGACACAUAUCCCCCCUAAAAUUGCGACAUGUUGGGCUAGAGAGGUCGCCAGUCAGCGAACCCUAAAGAUCGGCCGAUGCGUCGACAUUCAAGGUUCUAUCAAAAUCGGCAGAGGUAUGCACGAAAUCCCCUUUCCAUUCUUGACAAUAGAUAAACCGGUUUUAUGUUAUUUUAUUUGCUAAUUUUGACAUAGGUGGUGAUCCAAUAUUCAACGAAUUUUGGGAACUAGUAUUUCCAGAUAGGAAAAUAAAUCCUUGAUAUUGAAAGAAUCAAUCAAUUUCUUUUCUUUUUAGCUGAUGAGAAUCAAUCCAUAUCUCCACCAUGGUAAAGAAGGAAUCACAAAAGACAAGGAGGAAAGCAAAUACACACACACACACACUAGUAGCAUCAAAUCCUUGGUAGUAGAAAAGGAAAAAUCCCCUUUCUCCUAGAGCCGCGGGCGCGCGCAGGAGGCCUGACCUGAUCGGAGCGGAGAGGAGAGCCAGCCGCACAUGCCUGUGCUGCGGGCGCGGCCCCACCUACCCCGCCCUAAUAUGCUCUCUCCCGAAUCCCCACCUCCCCAGUCCCCAUCUAUAAAAGCCGCGCCCCUCCUCCUCUUCCCUUCCACGCAGCGACCACUCGCCGUAGGUAGCACGCUCCCCCUCUUCCUCAUCUCCAAAGUCCACCGCCCUCCGUGCCGAGCAACCGAAUCGGGAUCGAUCGUCUCCUCCCCGUCGCCGCCGCCUCGGGCUCGCUUGGUGCAGAUCGGGACCCUCCGCCCGCCCCGACGGGCCGGAUCCCGCCUUGCACCAAGUGAAUCGGAGCCGGCGCAGCGACCCCGCCCCCGCCCCCGCCCCCGCCGCCAGAAUUGGUUGACGCUCCGGUGACGUUGAUUUCGGCCGCCUUCUUCCCCUGGUUCGAUCGGUCCGACGCUGGUGAUUGAUUACUAACUACUCGCUGCCGGUCUUAUGUUCGAUUCCGUAGGUUCGCUCGUGCCUGUUGCGCGUUCGGAUGUUUGCCUGGAUUACGAAAUUCGCUAGAUCUAGAUCUGGCGCCUGGAUUUAAUUGUUGCCUGUUUGAUCUGACGGAUUUUUUGUUGCCAAGCAAGAUCUAAUCCUUCUUUUUUGCCAGGAUUCGUGCCAUGCUAUGGUGCAAAUUGAGCCCCCAAAUUGUGUUGCAGGGGAGGCCGUGGGACGCUAUGAGAUGGUUCGACUUAGUUGGUCAUGACGCGAAUUUCGAUUUGGAUCAUGGGGCGGGUCUUGUGUAUGGUACUGGUAGAUUCAGUAGUAUUUGGCGUGAUUGGACUGUGGAGAACAUUUAUUGAUGUAGAUGGAUGCUGGUAUCGUUUUACUACUUGUAGCAGGGGCGUAUCUCUGGCUAGCAGCUCUGUACUCUGCAGGUGACUGGUAAUUGCGGUGGACUUGUUUUGGGAGGAGACAUGCUCAGAUGAGUUGCAUGUGUAUCCUUCCACAUGCUUUAUUUAGCACAUUUGCUGUAGCCUGAUGUGAAUUGUCUUCAGGACAGAUGCUAAUUCCAGAGAUUUGAUUUGAAACCUGUAAGGUCUACAGUAGACUUUUUCUGUUCAUCUGGGGAAUUUCAGCCUUUUGAUUCAAGACCUAUCGGUAUGGUUUGAGCUUUGAUUUGUCAAAAGCUUACUAAACCUUAUUCAGCAGUGAUCAAAGUGGAUAGGCACAAGUAUCAAAGUUUACAUAGGGAUAGGUGUGUAGUUGCUAUUUUUUGUAUAGUUUUAACUACACUACAUAGGGGUGUAGCGAGCUAAUCUCGAUCCCGUCUGUGAAUCUUGAUAGGAGCAACAUGUACGGUUUCCAAUUUUUAUAGUGUGCCAAGUUUGUUGCUUCCUGGAUGUUUCACUAGUUAUAUGCUGUACCACGUGGUCAUUGUUUGUAUCAGAAUGAAGCAAAAGAGAAAAGUGAGUUUCUAACAGUAAAUUGGUCGAAUCCAAAGCGACUCUUCCGGUGUAUGCAAGUUGAGAUUAGAUGUUUAAUCAUUUCCUGGCUUGUCAACAGUUUUCCCUCUGGGAUGAAUUGACAGUGUACGUUUGAUUGUUGGGACGUCCGUUUUCCUGAAUGGCUG